AUUGAACGCUGGCGGCAUGCCUUACACAUGCAAGUCGAACGGUAACAGGUCUUCGGAUGCUGACGAGUGGCGAACGGGUGAGUAAUACAUCGGAACGUGCCCGAUCGUGGGGGAUAACGCAGCGAAAGCUGUGCUAAUACCGCAUACGAUCUACGGAUGAAAGCGGGGGGAUCGCAAGACCUCGCGCGGACGGAGCGGCCGAUGGCAGAUUAGGUAGUUGGUGGGAUAAAAGCUUACCAAGCCGACGAUCUGUAGCUGGUCUGAGAGGACGACCAGCCACACUGGGACUGAGACACGGCCCAGACUCCUACGGGAGGCAGCAGUGGGGAAUUUUGGACAAUGGGCGAAAGCCUGAUCCAGCCAUGCCGCGUGCAGGAUGAAGGCCUCGGUUGUAAC
rnacentral:rRNA from 1 species